rnacentral:rRNA from 1 species
UACGUAGGGGGCAAGCGUUGUCCGGAUUUAUUGGGCGUAAAGAGCGUGUAGGCGGCUAGAUAGGUCCGUUGUGAAAACUCGAGGCUCAACCUCGAGACGUCGAUGGAAACCAUCUGGCUAGAGUCCGGAAGAGGAGAGUGGAAUUCCUGGUGUAGCGGUGAAAUGCGCAGAUAUCAGGAAGAACACCCGUGGCGAAGGCGGCUCUCUGGACCGAGACUGACGCUGAGGCGCGAAAGCGUGGGGAGCAAACAGG